rnacentral:rRNA from 1 species
GAUGAACGCUGGCGGCGUGCCUAAUACAUGCAAGUCGAGCGAACAGAUGAGGAGCUUGCUCCUCUGACGUUAGCGGCGGACGGGUGAGUAACACGUGGAUAACCUACCUAUAAGACUGGGAUAACUUCGGGAAACCGGAGCUAAUACCGGAUAAUAUAUUGAACCGCAUGGUUCAAUAGUGAAAGACGGUUUUGCUGUCACUUAUAGAUGGAUCCGCGCCGCAUUAGCUAGUUGGUAAGGUAACGGCUUACCAAGGCAACGAUGCGUAGCCGACCUGAGAGGGUGAUCCGCCACACUGGAACUGAGACACGGUCCAGACUCCUACGGGAGGCAGCAGUAGGGAAUAUUCCGCAAUGGGCGAAAGCCUGACGGAGCAACGCCGCGUGAGUGAUGAAGGUCUUCGGAUCGUAAAACUCUGUUAUUCGGGAAGAACAAAUGUGUAAGUAACUAUGCACGUCUUGACGGUACCUAAUCAGAAAGCCACGGCUAACUACGUG